ACCCUCUCCAGUGCUGGUUUUCCAUUGGCCAGCGGGAGUCACUGCUGUUUCCACAGAAGCUGUUUGGAAGGAACACAUGAGUUAGUCUCUGAAGAACUUGGGGCAGCUCUGGGAGGAGCUAAGUACCGUCUGCAGGAUGAAAUCCACAAGGAAAAGGGCAAAGGUCUCGUUUCCGUCUGGCUGACCCUCCGGAGAGAGCCCACAGACCCUCUACCAGCCAGGGAGGAGCAGACGGGGCAGGUGAGGUGGCCGCUGAUUAAAGUUCCAGUGUUUGGACAGAAUAUUUAAGAAGAAACCCUGUUAUGAGAAAUGCUGGAAGAGAGUUUCUAUGCUGGACAUGGAAACGACACCGGAGAUCACCACUUCUUCCUCAUGCUUGUACAGUGACUCAGUCAUUUAUUUAUGUUCAUAUGAGUCUGUGGCUGUCUGCUGAAUUUAAUUUUAGUUUUUGUGUGCAGGACAGCCUUAACUGAUUUUUAUGGCAUUUGUUUUAUGCUUUGAGUCACAACCUGACGCAGACUCUGAGUGACUAUGAAGAUGUUACCUGUCUGUGAGCCCAUCACUGUGGAAAAUAUCACAAGCCAACAUUUGUAAUUCCUGCACACCCAAUUCUACAUGCAAUACGCCUGGUAUCACUGCCGUACGUCCUCACAGGCCCUGUCACCAGCCCACUAGGCCAAGGCCACUCUCCUGGGAAGAUCAAGACUAGAAGUCCAGCACGCUUCUGCUGGACGUAAGCAGGAAGUCCGUGGUCGGCUCCCUGGGGAGAUACGAAGUGUCAGCCAAGCUCUGCAUCCUGGGAGGAAGCCCCUGCUCUCCCGGUCCUGGGCAGCUGCGUCCCUCCACCACCCCCUCCACUCCGGGCUGCACAGGUCCCUCUCCUGCUGGACCUGUGUCUACAUGGAGCCCCCUUCCAGGGCACACAACCACACUAUCCAGGACGAGCAUCCUCAUGGUAAUCCUCCUGCAAGCCCCCUCCCCACCAGGCGAUGCCCCCAGAAGCCACAGAUAGGGCGCGGAGCUCUCCGAGGGGCGCCACCUGGCCUAGCACAGUUUCUGGGUCCCUUGCCUUGCCUGAGUCAUGGAGCUGGUGGGUUUGGUGUACGUGUUCUGUCUGUGCUUUGAGCUCUUAGACUCCGUUGUGCAAGGGCUCCAAAUGCAUCUGGGAUCCGGGAGGCCAGUCUAGGAGUCAGCUGGAGAAGGCAGAGGACACCAUCUGGAGGCUGGCUGUGCUCGUCGCUGCCACUACCCUGCUUCUCUUAGCUCUCCAAGCUGCCGGCCAAGAGACGUGUGUGUCUGCCAACCCAUAUCGCAAACAUUCCUGUGUGUAGCCAUCUGCAUCUGUGUUAAGUUAAACAUAAUCCUGCAAAUGUAACCACGGCAUGGGUCCUUUCAGCCUCCCCCUGCUGAUCCCUAAAUUCCUACAACGGGUAGAAGCUCGGCUCCUGCUGCCCUCCAGCUCAGCUCCAUCUGUUGAGUCUUUCAAUUCCAGGACGUGUGGAUAGCAGCCUGGGAAUCAUUAUCCCAGCCCCCAAAACCAGCUUGUCAGCUAGGGGAUCGAGCUAAUGUGUGAUUCCUUUACCUUUCCUCAUAUGUUUCUUACCAGAGUUUCUUAGGUCAGGAUCUUUUCCCAGAUUGCUACAUGAGAGUGCAUCACACAUGUGUAAUACAUUUCGGUUCUCUCCUCACACUGUCUACGUUUUUCCUGUGGUCCCAAAAUCUUACAAUAUUUUUCUAAUUUGCACACAUGAAUAUUCACUCCGUUUGUCAUAAAGUUCUGCGUGUUUGGGCAAAUACACAAUGUCAUGAGUUUGUGGUAACAGUAUCACACAAAAUAGUCUUGCCAGUCUAGAAAUCUCGCAUACUUCACCUCUCCAUUGUCCUGCCCCCACCACCCCGUAUCCCUGCCUAAAAUUCUGGACCACCAUUCAAUCCUUUUACUGCCUCCCUAGCUUUUCCAGAAUGCCACAGAUUGGGAAGGAAUAACCAUUUUCAAUCCUCGGGUGGAUCUUCCACGCCCAGAACCACGCUGGAUGUUCCAAGUUGAUCGUUGUUAGUCCGACACACAAGGGCCCAUGAGCAUGGAGCGUGGGGACAGUUGGAGGUGGGACUGUUAGGAGGAGAGCAGGAAGGCAGGGUCUGUGCCACACCCAGCCUCUGUCAGAACUCACUUCCUCAGCACUGGUGCAAGCAGGCGUGAUCGACUUCAAGAAUAUGGACUGUGUCGUCUGCAACGAACGAGCGGUAUAUUUUGAAGCCCUCAUUUCCAGAAGCUGAUUAUUUAUUCCAAAAUUUUGUUUUUGACAUUUCCAGUUCUCCUCUGAAAAUCAUUUUUUGGUUGCUUAUUUCUCUCAAGACCACACUGAAAUCCAUGUCCUUGUGAGAGCUGACCCCUCCUCUUCCCCUCACUCCCGCUCCCCAGCUACAAAGGAGCCCACCCUGUUUCUGCUGAACUAAGCCACUUAAACUUCUGCAUUAGAGGAGCUACAAGAAACCCAUGCACCUGCCCAGGGGUCAGGCUAUCUGUGGUGAGACACUUCCAAACAUGAGCAGAAAAUGGAUUUGACCUUGAAAUCCGAUCUGUGUUUAUGGAAUCACUAAGUCCUGGGUUCGAGAGGUGAACAGGAAGUCACUAGCAUGUUGAGUGCCCACUGAGACAGUGUAUUUGUGUGGAGGACACAGGGUCCCCUGAAGCCAACAUUGGAGCCUGCCUUGGUCACGACAAAGUGCACAACUUUGAAUGAAACCCUUCACUUCCUGGACAUCUUUUCAUGGAGUCAAAAUAUAGCACUGUACGUGACAGUGUCUAACAUCACGGGUUUCUGAGGCUGAAUGACAUGGAAUUUUGAAGUCCUGGGCUCCUCCCCAGUGACUGGUCAGGACGAUUGUUCAGCCUCUACAGUCCAGCAGGUGUGGACUGCACCUCAUGGUUUGCACUUAGAGGAAUAUAACUCAGUGAAAAGCACACGAUGGCUGGGAUUUAGCUCAGUGGUUUCCCCACAUGCCUCAUGAGCACAAGGUCCUGAGUUCGAUCCCCGCUACCAAAAAAAAAAAAAAAAAGAAAAACGCACAAGAGAAAUGUGGACAGCCAGUGCCAAGCUCUUCUUGUCCAUUGCUCAUUUUAGUUUUAGUUACAAACCAGGAGAAGCCAAGCUUGAGGUUUCAGCAGAAAGGUAAUUUCUGUCCACCAUCGUGAGCACUGCCAAGGACAUAGAGGGGCCCUGUGGUCCCCUAGGAGAAGCCCUGUCGCCAGCAUGGCUAAGUUUUGCAAGGGGAGGGUUGGAACUCUUGGUCCUCCUGCCUCAACCUCCCAGAGUGCUGGGGUUACAUUCAGGCCCCCAAUGCCUGGCUUCCCACAGCUUUUUAAAGCAGCAUUUUUAAAAUUUUAAGUGUUGUGGGUUCUAUUUUUUCUUUUAUUUUAGAUAAAGCUAAGUACCUGCUUGCACUGUUUGCUUGUGUUGUUGCUGUUACUCCUGCAGUGUCAGAGCUGCAUGCACUGCUGUCCUUCCCUGCCCACACCAUCGCUCCUGUACCCUGGAGGCCUCUCUGCCUCCACCAGUGUGGAUGGCAGGCUGCUGGGUGCCACACCUCCUGCAGGCUGGCUGUCCCUUCUCUGUCUUCCACGCCCCUCCCUGUCCCUGUGAUUAUUGGUGAUCAUGCUUCCUUCUUUGGAGUCGAUUUCUUUGUGUUGCAGAAGACAUUCCUCCAGAGCACACAGGGAGGUUUGAUGUCUCGCUCUUGUAAGUGGGAGGAGGUGCCUUGUCACUGUCUAUGACUGGGCCGGGAGCCCUGGGUCCCAGGGCACCACAGUGAGGACCUUGAGGACAAUGGUUUUGCCCUUGGCAUUGGCCCUUGGGUUUCUCUCUCUAGAAGUUUUGAGAAUCUAGUUCACCUUGGCAUUCACCAUGGUGUAUUUACUUUUGGAUUUGCUUAAGGAUAUUUUUCAUUUGUUUUAUUAUUUUUUGGGGGGGA